rnacentral:rRNA from 1 species
GGAAAGUCAGGUGUGAAAGCCUACAGCUUAACUGUAGAACUGCACUUGAAACUCCCAACCUAGAGUAUGGAAGGGGCAGAUGGAAUUAGUGGUGUAGGGGUAAAAUCCGUAGAUAUCACUAGGAAUACCGAAAGCGAAGGCGAUCUGCUGGGACAUUACUGACGCUAAGGCGUGAAAGCGUGGGGAGCAAACAGGAUUAGAUACCCUGGUAGUCCACGCCCUAAACGAUGAACACUAGUCGUCGCUCUGCUAGUCAGGGCGGUGAUGCACUUAACAGAUUAAGUGUUCCGCCUGGGGAGUACGGUCGCAAGAUUAAAACUCAAAGGAAUAGACGGGGACCCGCACAAGUGGUGGAGCAUGUGGUUUAAUUCGAAGAUACGCGAAGAACCUUACCUGGCCUUGACAUUGAUUGAACACUCUAGAGAUAGAGUGGUGCCCUUCGGGGAACAUGAAAACAGGUGCUGCACGGCUGUCGUCAGCUCGUGUCGUGAGAUGUUGGGUUAAGUCCCGCAACGAGCGCAACCCUCGUCCUUAGUUGCUAGCAGUUCGGCUGAGCACUCUAAGGAGACUGCCUUCGCAAGGAGGAGGAAGGUGAGGACGACGUCAAGUCAUCAUGGCCCUUAUGGCCAGGGCUACACACGUGCUACAAUGGGGCGUACAGAGUGUUGCGAUAC